UUUUAUAUUAUAAAAUGAUUAUAGAGACUAAUAGCUAAGAUAAUCGUUGAGCGCAUCAAACCUGAUGCUUCAAAAAUGUUCCAAACAUAUCAACUAGGCUUUGGUACUAAAGGGGGAUGCGAAAUAGCCGCUCACUCUCUUCGCAUAUAUAUCGAAGAUCCUCCUCCAGACGCCAUAGUCUACGCUAUAUAACACGCACCGCUAAAGGAUAAAAGGAACCCGGGGAGAGAUGGAGAUGGUAAUUACCUUGUUAAGGUCGAAUAGGGUAGAAAUUUUGAAUUGGGAGCCAUCUUUGAAAAUCGGCCAAUAUGAUCGCAACGAAGAGUCCGUGAUUAUAAAAGGCGUGUCGGUUUUCAUAAAUUUAUCGCUUAUCUCCUGGCUCGAUACGUUAAAUAACUUGGGAAUGUCUUGUAUUUCCAUGCAUGCCUUGUUGUGCGUAUUGCGGGUUGCUACUCUAUGUACCUGGCAAUCGUCAUCCCUUAGUGAUUCUUGGAGUAUACUUGAAUUUGACCGCGCCUGAGAAGUGAGACGCUUAACUUCCUAAGAGUAGAGGAACGUUUCCACGAUAUCGCUAAAACAAUGAUCCAGAAAAUGAUUUUUAAAAUAUUCCAGGCUCUGUAGUAAAAUUUAUCCAACAUCAGUCUACUGUUUAAAUUACCUACGCAUGUUUCGAUGAAUUUUGCAAUUUCUUCUUGAUCCUCCGAUUCAGAAUUCGCUUUUAUAGAAAUUAGGUCUACUAGAGAAUUAUAGAGGGCCUUUGAAUCUGUGUUCAAUAUCCUUAAACAUUCUUUAUAUGUCAUUGGCGUUCUUGCUUCAUUAGAUUCGCUAGUGUCCUCAAUCGACUCAAAAUUUCCACUGUAAUUCAAUACAUCAGACUUGCCUUGUUUCCACAUUUUAUCUAUAUCCUUCAUUUCCUCCUCGUUAAACAAAUUAUCAUCCUCUUCGCCUACCCGCCUCUCUUCGUCCGCCAAAGAAUAGUGUCUUACAUUGAUCUUAGGCUUGAUCCUGCAUUUAAAAGAAUGUCUUCUAUUGGUCAAUCCUUCAGACCCACUAUUUAUAAAAGUAGUAUGUUUUUUCUGCUUUUUGAGUGUAGACUUGUUGGAGUUUGAUCCUAUGUCACGAUUAUUAUUUUUAACAAAAAACUCCAGGAAUCGUUUGUAAAAAAAAUUGAGGAUCAAAAUAAGAUUAUGAAUCAAGUUUGAUGAUUUUGGUUGCUUCAAUUUUACCCGCGGAAAAUAUUUUCUGCAAAAAUGAUGUAAUCCAUCUUUAAUAUCCGAUACUAGUGUACUCAACAUUUAUAAAUGUAUAUAUAAUAUGGUAAAUCCUCUC